rnacentral:rRNA from 1 species
AGCGAACGCUGGCGGCAGGCCUAACACAUGCAAGUCGAGCGCGUGUCGCAAGACACGAGCGGCAGACGGGAGAGUAACACGUGGGAACGUACCCUUUGGUUCGGAACAACCCAGGGAAACUUGGGCUAAUACCGAAUAAGCCCUUACGGGGAAAGAUUUAUCGCCGAAGGAUCGGCCCGCGUCUGAUUAGCUAGUUGGUGGGGUAACGGCCCACCAAGGCGACGAUCAGUAGCUGGUCUGAGAGGAUGAUCAGCCUCACUGGGACUGAGACACGGCCCAGACUCCUACGGGAGGCAGCAGUGGGGAAUAUUGGACAAUGGGCGCAAGCCUGAUCCAGCCAUGCCGCGUGGGUGAUGAAGGCCCUAGGGUUGUAAAGCCCUUUCGGCGGGGAAGAUAAUGACGGUACCCGCAGAAGAAGCCCCGGCUAACUUCGUGCCAGCCGCCGCUGUAAC